GGGAAGGGAAGGGAAACAUGAGGGAGCCAGCUUCAGACAAAUGUGAAACUGUUCCUGUAAAACUGAUUAUGAUCCCUCUGUGAGGAGGGGGAAGAAAGUUUAGAUAGAGAAGAAUAAAUGUUACCUAUAUACACACAAAAGAGAGUGAUACAUAGUUGAUUUGGAUGUAACUUGACUCCUUGACAACUCUAUUGAGCCAUAAAUUAAAACAUGAGGUCUCAUUCAUUCCUGAAGCACAAAAAAAUAAAGAAGAAGGUGUCUCUAAGCUUAAACAAAAUUUUCUCUCUUUUAGACAAGUCAAUCUCCUUAAGAAGCUUUCUUUCUUUUUUUGUUCUGAGGUACUUCUCAAAUGAACAACCUCAUUCGUGUCAAAGUUUCCCCAAAUUGGCCAUCGCAUUCCCAAUUGUCCCUGGUGAAAUUGUGCCAGUUAGAAAGUUAAGGGUGCACGUUAGCGUAUAAGGAGAAAACAUGAAGGCAACAGGUGUCUCUUGGAAGACAUGUGGUUUCAUGUUGAGAAAGCCCCCCAAAGAUGGGACGGUCUGUAAGAAUAAAACCUGGUUAGCUUUGUGUCUCCGGAACCGGGCCAAAGCCCAAUUUUUUGCUAAUCCAGAGCUGACCAGAAUUUCCCGAUUUGGUGCAGACAAAAUUAAACAGCGCAAAUCUGUGACUACACUAAAAAUCAUUGAAUUGUACACUUUAAAUAAGUCAAUUGUAUAGUAUGUGAAGCAUAUCUCAAGAAAGCUGCUAUGAAAAAAGUCUUCCAAAGGACUAUUAUAUUUGGAAAGCACAAAAACAUUGAAACGGUUAUGUUGUUUUUAUACUAAGGGGAAACUGGAAAGAAUACAAUUGUAUGUUAACAAGAGAAUAGUUAAAUACAUUAGGGUAAAAUUGUAUGGUGGAAUAUUAGCUAGUCAUUAAGAAUGUUUUUAAGUAAUACUUAACGACAAAGAAAAGGCUCACAGUAGAGUCUUAGUGUGAGAGCAGGAUAAAAAGUGUGCAUUCAGCAUAAUUUUACAAGGAAAUCUCAUUAAGGGAAAACAGCAUAUAGAAAUAAACCCUGAAUGGAAAGACAACAGCAUAACAGUGUUUAUGAAUGAUGGACUGUGGGUAAUUUAAACUUUUUUCGUUGUUCUGUCUCUAUCGUUUCCAGUGAAAAUGAAUUUUUAUUGCUUUUAUAAUCGGGAAACAAAAUGUUGUAAAACAAAAAUGGCUAUGGGGACCUAAAGCAAGGUUUUUAUAUUGAUUUGAGUGUACAACAGAGUAACAUAGCACUAAAGUUCCAAGUACAGGGUCACCAUAUGAAUUUGGUUAAGUGAAGGAAGAGACUAUUGAAAACAAGGAUCCAAGUAAUUACUUUUUCCUUUCAGUUGUUCGAAAUACUGCUGCCAAAUCAUCUCAGAUUACUCCAGCUAGGCUCAGAGCAAACCCACCUCUUGAGUUCAACACGACAUUGACCCUCUUCUUUCCCUGCAUACAGCCCUCUCAUUUGUGCAUUUCCUUACUUCAUCUCCCCACUUCUCCUCACUUCACCUCGGGAUUUUCCUGCUAUGUAUCUGCUAUCCUUCAAAUAAAUGCUUCAUGUAAGCUUACAAUA